UACGUAGGGUGCAAGCGUUAAUCGGAAUUACUGGGCGUAAAGCGUGCGCAGGCGGUGAUGUAAGACCGAUGUGAAAUCCCUGGGCUUAACCUGGGAACUGCAUUGGUGACUGCAUUGCUAGAGUAUGGCAGAGGGGGGUGGAAUUCCACGUGUAGCAGUGAAAUGCGUAGAGAUGUGGAGGAACACCGAUGGCGAAGGCAGCCCCCUGGGCCAAUACUGACGCUCAUGCACGAAAGCGUGGGGAGCAAACAGG
rnacentral:rRNA from 1 species